rnacentral:rRNA from 1 species
GAGUUUGAUCGUGGCUCAGAUUGAACGCUGGCGGCAUGCCUUACACAUGCAAGUCGAACGGCAGCACGGGAGCUUGCUCCUGGUGGCGAGUGGCGAACGGGUGAGUAAUGCAUCGGAACGUAUCCUGGAGUGGGGGAUAACGUAGCGGAAGUUACGCUAAUACCGCAUAUUCUGUGAGCAGGAAAGCGGGGGACCUUCGGGCCUCGCGCUCUUGGAGCGGCCGAUGUCGGAUUAGCUAGUUGGUGAGGUAAAGGCUCACCAAGGCGACGAUCCGUAGCAGGUCUGAGAGGAUGAUCUGCCACACUGGAACUGAGACACGGUCCAGACUCCUACGGGAGGCAGCAGUGGGGAAUUUUGGACAAUGGGGGCAACCCUGAUCCAGCCAUGCCGCGUGAGUGAAGAAGGCCUCGGUUGUAAGU